rnacentral:rRNA from 1 species
UACAGAGGGGGCAAGCGUUAUUCGGAAUUAUUGGGCGUAAAGGGCGCGUAGGCGGCGAUUCAAGUGACGGGUGAAAUCCCUCGGCUUAACCGAGGAACUGCCUGUCAGACUGGAUUGCUUGAGGCCGGGAGAGGCGAGUGGAAUUCCCGGUGUAGCGGUGAAAUGCGUAGAUAUUCGCAAGAACACCAGUGGCGAAGGCGGCUCACUGGCCCGAUACUGACGCUGAGGUGCGAAAGCGUGGGGAGCAAACAGG